AAGGUUAAAACUCAAAUGAAUUGACGGGGGCCCCGCACAAGCGGCGGAGCAUGUGGUUUAAUUCGAUGCAACGCAAAGAACCUUACCUGGUCUUGACAUCCACGGAAGUUUUCAGAGAUGAGAAUGUGCCUUCGGGAACCGUGAGACAGGUGCUGCAUGGCUGUCGUCAGCUCGUGUUGUGAAAUGUUGGGUUAAGUCCCGCAACGAGCGCAACCCUUAUCCUUUGUUGCCAGCGGUCCGGCCGGGAACUCAAAGGAGACUGCCAGUGAUAAACUGGAGGAAGGUGGGGAUGACGUCAAGUCAUCAUGGCCCUUACGACCAGGGCUACACACGUGCUACAAUGGCGCAUACAAAGAGAAGCGACCUCGCGAGAGCAAGCGGACCUCAUAAAGUGCGUCGUAGUCCGGAUUGGAGUCUGCAACUCGACUCCAUGAAGUCGGAAUCGCUAGUAAUCGUGGAUCAGAAUGCCACGGUGAAUACGUUCCCCGCCCUUGUACACACCGCCCGUCACACCAUGGGAGUGGGUUGCAAAAGAAGUAGGUAGCUUAACUUCGGAGGGCGCUUAUCCACG
rnacentral:rRNA from 1 species